CCCCUUCAUGGCCAGAGAGACCCAGCUGUUGCCCUGGUAGCUGACCAGGUUGUCUGCAUUGUCGACUCCACACACCCUUCCAGCACCAGCAUCUAUCUGCUUCAGACUGCCAGGCACAGCCCGACACUGCAGGGCUCCAGCCACAGACACU